rnacentral:lncRNA from 1 species
UUAGAUGUAACUAAUUAACUACCCGUUUGUUAAUUUGUUAAAACAUGUAUACAAUUAUUAUGUUAAAAAAAAAAAUUAGGACUAGAGGAUUAUGUUACAUUCUAAGAUACAGUAUAUCCGACUAGUUUUACAAACAAAUUGAUAUUUAUCUUUCUUCAAUAACAUGAUUUACUUAACAAUUUACAUUAGUGCUCCUUUUCAAAAUCUACCCCAAAAUUUUCAUGAAGCUUUCAAGUAAAGAACAUCGUCAUCAUCAUCUCCAUCAUGGAUCUUCUUUAAGAAACAAGUUUCUCCAUUAUUCAAGUGAGCAACAUGCAUAGCCAUACAAAGCAUACCAUGUACAUAAGCAUCUCUUAUCCUUUUGCAUAAACUUGUUGAUAACCUAAUGAUUUUUGGUUGAACUUUUGGCAUCAUCAUUUCAACCAUUUUCAAUUUUUUUGGACCAAACAUAGUAACAUUUUUACUAGUAUUGCAAUCACUCACCUCUUUGCUUCUCUUGAGCUUAUGAUAUGUUCCUCUCCUUGUGUAACUCAUGCUUCCACAUGUUGGAAUGAAAUCAACUAUCUCCAUGAUUUUGAACUCGUGUGGUGUGUGAGUGUGAGAAGAAACAAGGGAUCAAAAGACCAAUUUAGAGACAAAGGUGUUGCUAGCUAUAAUGCUAUAUGAUAUUAUAUAUUAUAGCUGCAUCCCAAGUAGUAGUAGAUGGUUCUUACAAAUAUUUUAUAUUUAUUUUUUAU